rnacentral:lncRNA from 1 species
GGAAAGGCGCGUCUAACAGAAACUUAACUCAGACAACAGAAACUUAAUGCUUAAGACGACUACUAAUAUACAAUGGAGGUCAGUCACGGUCUCCUACACGUUCAUGAAAAGGAAAGAGGAAAGAAUAACUGUAAUUGCUGAAAAUACUGUGAAUGUAUAUGUAUGGGACUACUUUACCAAAAUGAAGAUAUAUAUCUAAAACUUGAUACACUUUACGAAGAAGCAGAGAUGACACCUAUAAUGCAUCCAUCUUUAUAUGCUCAAAAGUAUGUGACCAGAUCUAGGACUCCAUUAUGUAUUGAAUGUCCUGUAGAGCAAGGAAAAUCCACACCUGCCCUCAAGAGUUAUGGGUUUUCCAGCCAAUUCUUAAUUUUGUAG